AGAAUGAAUUUCCAAUAAUUUGUCGCAAUCUAUCUUGAUUAUGACUGUUCUAAAUCGUCGAAAUUAAAAGAAAAUAAUUGUGAACCUCAGCAAAGGGAUUGUCGCAUUACUGAAUAUGCAACCAGAUUCUUUUUUUUAUUUUUAUUUUUGAAACAACAAAAGUUAAGGAACAUGAAUCUUUUAUUCAUUGUCGCCCAAGCGCAACGAUUGCCUUGCAUAUUUUCGUUCUUGUUCCUGUGGCUGCAAAGUACAAACUAGUAAACAAUAAGUGCAAAAAUUUCUUACAUAAUUAUAUAUGGGCUUGUUCUUUAAUUGGGUUGAGUUUGAGAUUCCUCCAUCGUCCCAUACCAAAUCAGCCGGUUAUAAUCUUUCUUUUCAUUUAAGAACAUCCCUAUUGCCUUGCCCAUUGGUCAUUUUUUUUUUCCUCAAAAGAUGGAGAUUUCAUUACUGAUUUUAAAAAAAGGCCAAAGCCCAAUUACAUGGUCAGACUUCAACCUCAAUUAAAUCUAACAUGUAGUCUACAAAUUAUGAAGAAGUGAAAUUGUCCAUCUAAAUCCAACAGCUUUCAGAAAAAGGAAAAAAAAAAUCUAAAUCCAACAAGCAUAUGUGAUCUGACCUCAUAAUCAGACUGGCUAAAAGAGCAAUAAGCGAGAUUUGAAUAUAUUAAAGAUAAUUAGAAAAAAAUUAGAAGCAGUAAUUUCUAGUUUAACAUCGAUGGUGAUAAAUAUUCAAUAAUCAACCACAUCAUGCAAUCAUUUAUCAAAAUUCUCAUCGGGUCCAAAUAAUUUUAUAUUUAUAGUCUGUUGAUUUAAUUAUAUAAUAAAAUUUAUUUUAUUUAUAAAAUAAAUUUCAUAAUAGAAUUAAUUUAUAAAUGAAUUUAUU
rnacentral:misc_RNA from 1 species